GUCAGCCCGUGUCGUGAGAUGUUGGGUUAAGUCCCGCAACGAGCGCAACCCUUGACUUUAGUUGCCAGCAUUCAGUUGGGCACUCUAGAGUGACUGCCGGUGACAAACCGGAGGAAGGUGGGGAUGACGUCAAAUCAUCAUGCCCCUUAUGACCUGGGCUACACACGUACUACAAUGGCCGGUACAACGGGAAGCGAAGCCGCGAGGUGGAGCGAAUCUUUAGAAGCCGGUCUCAGUUCGGAUUGCAGGCUGCAACUCGCCUGCAUGAAGUCGGAAUUGCUAGUAAUCGCGGAUCAGCAUGCCGCGGU
rnacentral:rRNA from 1 species